GGCUCUGUAGCUCAACUGAAUAGAGCAACAGCCUUCUAAGCUGUGGGUCAUAGGUUUGAAUCCUAUCAGAGUCA
rnacentral:tRNA from 1 species